rnacentral:rRNA from 1 species
UACCAGCAGCCCCGAGUGGUCGGGACGAUUAUUGGGCCUAAAGCAUCCGUAGCCGGUUCCUACAAGUCUUCCGAUUAAACUCCAACUGCUUAACAGGUGGGCUGCGGAAGAUACUAGUAAGAGCUAGGAUGGCGGGAGGAGGCAAGCGGGUAACUCGAUGGGUAGGGGUAAAAGUCCGGUUGAUCCAUUGAAGACCACCAGUGG